UUCACCGAAACCUCCCGAGAGUGACCUCUGCGCCUCGAGAUGGUGCCUCACACGUCUUUCACUGAGACCCCUGGUCCACGCCUACAGCUUCACCACGAUCCGGCUCCUGCGCUGAACCGAGCUCCAGACUUACUCGGGAACUCUCUUUCGACUCCCCUCCGCGACCCCGUGCCCUCAGCCGCGCGCGCCCCGCCUACAGGAUACAAGAAUACUUGCGAUCCUAAAACGUGUAUAAAGGUGGCCAAAAGCAGCUGAGAAUGGACAGAAAUGGUGUGGGAGGAAGUAAAGAGAAGAAACACAGAGACAGAUGUCAACAGCAAGAAGGCCAGCUAGACACGGCUAGCAAAAGUAUAAUUUCUGAAGAACAAUGUGUAUUGUAUGCCAUAUCUGAAAAUUUUCUAUUUUGCAAAGUAAGCAUAUUGCCCCUUCUCAGACCAAAGUGCUGCCGUUGCUGAGCUCCUGGAGAUGGCUGAAAUUCAAGGUGGAAUUCUGGGCCUACAUAGCCCUACUUCCCCACCAAGUUGCCCUAUUGGCCCUGAAUCAUCACUCUAGAUUGGGAUGAAAUGCACUAUGGAACAAAAGAACUGACUGCCAACGGCUGGAAAUACGGGGAGAUACCGCCCUAUGGGAUGAAACACGGCCAAUGGGAAAUGAGAGGCAGGAGGUAUCUGAGCAGAAAAAUUCCCUCCCCUGCCUUCCUGCCAUGGACUACUCUGAGUGUGGUUUCUUCUUGCAGCCUUUCCAGAGGAGUCCUGCAUGCCAAGUGGGCACACCUCCCAAGCACCUGCACUGUCUUUGCCAGGCCUGUGGUGAAAUGGUGGCUAGUACAAUGACAUAUCACAUCACGUUGCUCUGCAUCUUUUUUAUCUUGCUUCCAUUGUGUUCUCACCAUCACCAUCUUCAGCUAGCGUUUCCCAAAUAAAGUGGUCGCACUUUAAUCCUUGCCUCUGGUUCUCCCGUCUAGAGGAUCCAGGCUAAGAAAA